rnacentral:misc_RNA from 1 species
AGACACUUGGUGACACCCUACACACAAGGAGUGAAUACCAACGUUGUCAGUAGAUAAGAUAUAAGUUACAAUGAUGCUACACGAUUUCACAACGGUAGUCAACGUCUGUUAUCAUAACGUACGGUACGAGAGACGCUAAUGUAACGAAUUCGUUUUUGGUGCCUAGCUACCUCUGAUGGGACACAAAUGUAAUAAACAGGGUGAGACUUGUGUUUAAAUAUAUCUCAUUUUGCCAAAGGAUGUAAACAGCAAUGCACCGAUCACGCCUGCCUACCUACAUGCAUGUAAGCAAUUGUAAUGGAGUGCUCCCUUGAAGCAUUUUGAGGGGUAAUUAAUAUUAGCUUUUCUCUGUUCCCCAAGCACUGUGUACUAGGCAAACUUGACUUAUGUAAUAGCUGGAUUCAAACAUUACUGUUCUGAGACAGUCAUUGGAGCUAUAAAAUAAAAAACCAACAAC